rnacentral:tRNA from 1 species
GUGAUCGUAGCUCAACCCGGUAGAGCAUCUGCCUGUGGAGCAGAAUGUUGCGGGUUCAAAUCCCGUCGAUCACC